GGCCCAAUGGUCUAGUAGUAUGAUACCUCCUUCGGGAUUAUAUCCCGCCUGAUUACUCGGGCUGAGAUUGGAGGUGGUCCCGGGUUCAAUUCCCGGUUGAGCCC